CAGUAACAAAAGUCUGAAGCAAGAUUUUGCGGCAAUAAUGUGAUUAUGUGCAACUUUUGUUCUUAUCCAAUUACGGAUGAGCGCUUGGUGAC
rnacentral:lncRNA from 1 species